rnacentral:tRNA from 1 species
ACCGAAAGAGCUCCGUUGGGAGAGCGUUAUAGUAUAGAUCAAAAAGUCCCUGGUUCGAUUCCGAGUUCAGGAA